UUGAGAACGUGUGGCUGGAGCAAAGUAUCUCUCCAGCCAUGCACCACUUCUCCCAGGGUAGCCUUUCCCAUCCUCCCUCCCAAGGCACUCUUUGUGCUUCUCUCCUCUGGUCCAUCCUCACCUUGUAGCCCAGUUUCCACGUGACUAACACACGGAGGAAAUCAUGGCCCCCCACACAAAGGUGCUUCUCUUCAACAGACACAACA
rfam:Ochotona princeps cont2.159252, whole genome shotgun sequence.